UCAGGGAUUUCAUUACCACUCACUGAAUCCUACCUCUGGCUUUCUUGGUCUCCCAGCUUGAGGAUGAGAGCUUGGAACUUCAAUAGUUUCCAGCAACCUUGGAAGAGCCCUGCUCACAUGCAUGGAAGGACAAUAUCUGCAUAGUUCAUGGCUAUCUGAUGAUGGUUCUGGGAGAAGCUUGCCUUCAUGAAGUUCCAUGUACUGAAUACUGUCUUGCUCAUAUAGGUGACAGAGCUGGCUGCGUUUAACCUCAUGUUUGUCCUUUCUACUGGUGGGACAGCAAAAAAAUCUGAGACUCAUGUCAUCUGUGGAAACUGCACUCAAACACAGGAGGCGGCGGUGGUGGUGAAAGGAAAGCUUUUGUGGUCUACUCUAAAAGUCACAACUUCUACGAGGAAUUCAACCUUUGGAUCGGCUGCACCCAGAUGAUUUCUUCUUCCUAUCCCAUGAAAGCCAACUGCUGUGAAACAUACUGUGGAACCAGAGAGUUUCCUGUUUGGCAUCCAGGGCUUAACUCGUGUCUGUGUCAAGAGAGAAUGAUUAUAUUUCUUCUAUCACAUUCAAUUAUGUAUAAUAAA
rnacentral:lncRNA from 1 species